rnacentral:rRNA from 1 species
UUAAGCGACUAAGCGUACACGGUGGAUGCCUAGGCAGUCAGAGGCGAUGAAGGGCGUGCUAAUCUGCGAAAAGCGUCGGUAAGGUGAUAUGAACCGUUACAACCGACGAUACCCGAAUGGGGAAACCCAGUGCAAUUCGUUGCACUAUUGCAUGGUGAAUACAUAGCCAUGCAAGGCGAACCGGGGGAACUGAAACAUCUAAGUACCCCGAGGAAAAGAAAUCAACCGAGAUUCCCCUAGUAGCGGCGAGCGAACGGGGAACAGCCCAGAACCUGAAUCAGCGUAUGUGUUAGUGGAAGCGUCUGGAAAGUCGCACGGUACAGGGUGAUAGUCCCGUACACAAAAAUGCAUAUGUUGUGAGUUCGAUGAGUAGGGCGGGACACGUGACAUCCUGUCUGAAUAUGGGGGGACCAUCCUCCAAGGCUAAAUACUCCUGACUGACCGAUAGUGAACCAGUACCGUGAGGGAAAGGCGAAAAGAACCCCGGCGAGGGGAGUGAAAUAGAACCUGAAACCGUGUACGUACAAGCAGUGGGAGCACCUUCGUGGUGUGACUGCGUACCUUUUGUAUAAUGGGUCAGCGACUUAUAUUUUGUAGCAAGGUUAACCGAAUAGGGGAGCCGUAGGGAAACCGAGUCUUAACUGGGCGAAUAGUUGCAAGGUAUAGACCCGAAACCCGGUGAUCUAGCCAUGGGCAGGUUGAAGGUUGGGUAACACUAACUGGAGGACCGAACCGACUAAUGUUGAAAAAUUAGCGGAUGACUUGUGGCUGGGGGUGAAAGGCCAAUCAAACCGGGAGAUAGCUGGUUCUCCCCGAAAGCUAUUUAGGUAGCGCCUCGUGAACUCAUCUUCGGGGGUAGAGCACUGUUUCGGCUAGGGGGUCAUCCCGACUUACCAAACCGAUGCAAACUCCGAAUACCGAAGAAUGUUAUCACGGGAGACACACGGCGGGUGCUAACGUCCGUCGUGAAGAGGGAAACAACCCAGACCGCCAGCUAAGGUCCCAAAGUCAUGGUUAAGUGGGAAACGAUGUGGGAAGGCAUAGACAGCCAGGAUGUUGGCUUAGAAGCAGCCAUCAUUUAAAGAAAGCGUAAUAGCUCACUGGUCGAGUCGGCCUGCGCGGAAGAUGUAACGGGGCUAAACCAUGCACCGAAGCUGCGGCAGCGACGCUUAGGCGUUGUUGGGUAGGGGAGCGUUCUGUAAGCCGUUGAAGGUGACCUGUGAGGGUUGCUGGAGGUAUCAGAAGUGCGAAUGCUGACAUAAGUAACGAUAAUGCGGGUGAAAAACCCGCACGCCGGAAGACCAAGGGUUCCUGUCCAACGUUAAUCGGGGCAGGGUGAGUCGACCCCUAAGGCGAGGCUGAAAAGCGUAGUCGAUGGGAAACAGGUUAAUAUUCCUGUACUUGGUGUUACUGCGAAGGGGGGACGGAGAAGGCUAGGCUAGCCGGGCGACGGUUGUCCCGGUUUAAGCAUGUAGGCGGAGUGACUUGGUAAAUCCGGUUGCUUAUAAACGCUGAGGUGUGAUGACGAGCCACUACGGUGGUGAAGUAGUUGAUGCCAAGCUUCCAGGAAAAGCCUCUAAGCAUCAGGUAACAUUAAAUCGUACCCCAAACCGACACAGGUGGUCAGGUAGAGAAUACUCAGGCGCUUGAGAGAACUCGGGUGAAGGAACUAGGCAAAAUGGUGCCGUAACUUCGGGAGAAGGCACGCUGGCAUUAGGUAAAGAGACUUGCUCUCGGCGCCGAAGCCAGUCGCAGAUACCAGCUGGCUGCAACUGUUUAAUAAAAACACAGCACUGUGCAAACACGAAAGUGGACGUAUACGGUGUGACGCCUGCCCGGUGCUGGAAGGUUAAUUGAUGGGGUCAGCCGCAAGGCGAAGCUCUUGAUCGAAGCCCCAGUAAACGGCGGCCGUAACUAUAACGGUCCUAAGGUAGCGAAAUUCCUUGUCGGGUAAGUUCCGACCUGCACGAAUGGCGUAAUGAUGGCCAGGCUGUCUCCACCCGAGACUCAGUGAAAUUGAACUCGCUGUGAAGAUGCAGUGUACCCGCGGCAAGACGGAAAGACCCCGUGAACCUUUACUAUAGCUUGACACUGAACAUUGAGCCUUGAUGUGUAGGAUAGGUGGGAGGCAUUGAAGUGUGGACGCCAGUCUGCAUGGAGCCAACCUUGAAAUACCACCCUUUAAUGUUUGAUGUUCUAACUCGGCCCCAUAAUCUGGGGUGAGGACAGUGUCUGGUGGGUAGUUUGACUGGGGCGGUCUCCUCCCAAAGAGUAACGGAGGAGCACGAAGGUUAGCUAAUCACGGUCGGACAUCGUGAGGUUAGUGCAAAGGCAUAAGCUAGCUUGACUGCGAGAGUGACGGCUCGAGCAGGUACGAAAGUAGGUCUUAGUGAUCCGGUGGUUCUGAAUGGAAGGGCCAUCGCUCAACGGAUAAAAGGUACUCCGGGGAUAACAGGCUGAUACCGCCCAAGAGUUCAUAUCGACGGCGGUGUUUGGCACCUCGAUGUCGGCUCAUCACAUCCUGGGGCUGAAGUAGGUCCCAAGGGUAUGGCUGUUCGCCAUUUAAAGUGGUACGCGAGCUGGGUUUAGAACGUCGUGAGACAGUUCGGUCCCUAUCUGCCGUGGGCGUUGGAAGAUUGAGAGGGGCUGCUCCUAGUACGAGAGGACCGGAGUGGACGAAUCACUGGUGUUCGGGUUGUCAUGCCAAUGGCAUUGCCCGGUAGCUAAAUUCGGAAGAGAUAACCGCUGAAAGCAUCUAAGCGGGAAACUUGCCUCGAGAUGAGUCUUCCCUGGGGCUUUAAGCCCCCUGAAGGAACGUUAAAGACUAUGACGUUGAUAGGCUGGGUGUGUAAGUGCAGCGAUGCAUUGAGCUAACCAGUACUAAUGAUCCGUGAGGCUUAACCUU